rnacentral:rRNA from 3 species
AGACCCGAAACCCGGUGAUCUAGCCAUGGGCAGGUUGAAGGUUGGGUAACACUAACUGGAGGACCGAACCGACUAAUGUUGAAAAAUUAGCGGAUGACCUGUGGCUGGGGGUGAAAGGCCAAUCAAACCGGGAGAUAGCUGGUUCUCCCCGAAAGCUAUUUAGGUAGCGCCUCGUGAAUUCAUCUCCGGGGGUAGAGCACUGUUUCGGCUAGGGGGCCAUCCCGGCUUACCAACCCGAUGCAAACUGCGAAUACCGGAGAAUGUUAUCACGGGAGACACACGGCGGGUGCUAACGUCCGUCGUGAAGAGGGAAACAACCCAGACCGCCAGCUAAGGUCCCAAAGUCAUGGUUAAGUGGGAAACGAUGUGGGAAGGCCCAGACAGCCAGGAUGUUGGCUUAGAAGCAGCCAUCAUUUAAAGAAAGCGUAAUAGCUCACUGGUCGAGUCGGCCUGCGCGGAAGAUGUAACGGGGCUAAACCAUGCACCGAAGCUGCGGCAGCGAACGUAUCACCCAAGACAACUUUACGGAGUUGACGAUUGACGGAGCGAAGCGACGUCAAAGCGUUCAUUAAAGUCGAGUUGGCUUAGGGAUACGUUCGUUGGGUAGGGGAGCGUUCUGUAAGCCUGUGAAGGUGUGUCGUGAGGCAUGCUGGAGGUAUCAGAAGUGCGAAUGCUGACAUAAGUAACGAUAAAGCGGGUGAAAAGCCCGCUCGCCGGAAGACCAAGGGUUCCUGUCCAACGUUAAUCGGGGCAGGGUGAGUCGACCCCUAAGGCGAGGCCGAAAGGCGUAGUCGAUGGGAAACGGGUUAAUAUUCCCGUACUUGGUGUUACUGCGAAGGGGGGACGGAGAAGGCUAUGUUGGCCGGGCGACGGUUGUCCCGGUUUAAGCGUGUAGGUGUGUGUUCCAGGUAAAUCCGGUUCACUUUAACACUGAGGCGUGAUGACGAGGCACUACGG